CAGGAGAAGGUGCAGCACAUAUGUUGCCACCCUCUGCCCUCUGCUGCAAACAUCAACAAUCAGUCAGGGUCCCCAUCUCCAUGUAGCUUCAGAGUGUUUGUCAAGAGAACACUGGUAAGCUUACUGUUCAUUCAUCAGAAUUGGCAAAAGGGAUGAAAACCUACUGCUGCCUCAGGCUCCCGAGCUAAAACCCAUAAUAUGGUUGCCAAUGAGACAUCACCUGUGAGUAUGACUUGAGUAUGACUUGAUCUCCACUGGGACCUUUGCAGAGUCUGGCAUGGAAAUGUUUUUCUGGAGCAUUAAAUUUGAAGCAUGGGAUAAUGUUGCCUCCCCUCAACAGUUCCCCAGCUUUGCAAAGUUAGAAGAUAGCUUUCCCAACUCCUGUAAUUUUUGUUUCCUGUUAUUUUAUGAUUUUUUCCCCUCACAACCAUUAAAUAUUCAUUUGUUAAAGGCUUAACACAUUCCAUGAUUCUACAGAAUUUAUAUUUGCACCAAAAAUAUUUUUUCAGAGAUAACCAAAAUGAAAUUAAAGUGAGAACCCCUAUUUAGUAAUACAGCAGCCCAGCUGCUUGGGGAUCAGGAUGAUUUAUACCAGCCUGUGUGUGUGUGUGUGCAUGUGUGCAUGUGUGUGUGUGAGUGCACACUCCCCCACACAUUCACACACAUGCAUUCACAUCUUGCAUAAACCUGUGGACUCUGCCCUAGUAUUUCUUUUACACUGGAGAAUUCUUGAUAAAAUAAUCCUCUAAAUACCUCUACAUGUGGUUUAAAUCAUCAAAGAGAAAAAACAUUUGUAAAAGCACACAGAGCACCCCAAAACACGUACAUCUUACUAGUUAACUCCCUUUGUAGUAAAUGUAAACCAUAAAAGACAGUCAUUUUGCAUCAGAUCCUAACAUGUGUGUAUUUUAACUCUCCUGCUAGCAUGAAUUAUGGUAGGUGCUCCAAGCAAGGGCACCAUGGGAAAUGGAUUACACGUACACCGUAUGCUUAUAAUUAGACUAUUUCUCCACAGAAGGUCAAAACUAUUUUGAAUGCCUGUGUUGCUAUGGAAUUUGUUUGUCCUCAGAGUUGAUGAACAGGGAUAACUGGGGUCAAUCAUUUCAGAUGCUUACUCGAUGACAUUUCAGUGGCUUAGCAUUGCACAAGAUAAUAAGAAUUAAAUGAUAAUUAAAUCCAAAGUUUGGUAGCUUUUGAUCAACAAAGGUGCUGAGAUUUUUUUUUUAACAUCUUCGUACUAUAAACAUGAAAACAACCCAAUUUUAGACUUGGAGGUUGGGUCAGAGAUGCUCUAACCUCCUCAUUUUACAGAUGUGCACACCAAACAGCAGAGAGGGUGUAGGGUUUGCUGAAGGCCAAGCAGUCAGCACAGUGUUGUUAUCAGAAUCCAUGGAUUUUGACUUAUAAUUCAAUGUCCUUCACCAUAGAAUGGAAUGGAAAAAUGUGUCCUUGGCUGGGGAUGGAGCCAGGGAUGUUGGAGAAACCAGGUGAUUUGUAGUGAAAUAUUUGGGCUGGAUGAUUUUGAGAUUGUUUCUUGUUUUUAAUUUUUUUUUUUUUUUAGUCCUUUUGCCUCUUUGAAGCCUUUGGAGCCGUUGACUUUGUAGCCAUUCUGGGUUUUUGGACAGAGAAAUCGCUGGACCAGAUUGUGCCUCUUUUUAGUCAGCCUUACGCUGCUUGCCCUGGGUGAUGGAGCCUCAGCUGGUGGCCAGCCUGGCACUGGAUUGAAUCAAGACUGGCAGGAAUUUUUCUUUCAAGACGUCUACUGUGAUGUGGGUUGCUUGAAGAUGCUGGGUCCUGUGCAUUCCAGAGUGCUGCCUGUUGACCACUACAUAGCUCCGGAGAGGACUCGCCUCACGGUCUCUACCAGCUAUGCUAAAGAUAGAUGACCAAUGGAGUUGGCAGCCUCAGAGACAUCCUCCCAUUUCCCCUUUCUUUUCAUGAGCUACAUUAACUAUAUCUGCUACAAAAACCUGGGAUCUGACCCUGGACUAAUUUUCUUCUAGAGAGGGGAGUGUUUCCUAGGUCUCCAGUCCCCAGGGCCCCAACCCUCGAACUGGUGCUCACGUAGGGGCAUCUGAGGAAUCUAGAGCUAUUAACUGGGGGAGGACAUCUCAGAUGUUUAUUACCAAAAUAAAAAGCUGACUAAUGUGCUCAGUGAGAUACAAAAGUUUUGAGAGCAGAGUAGCUAGGAUUAGGGGAUUGGAAAUGGAACAUUUCCAGCUGGCACCUGAGACAGGGACCAAAGACUUCAGCAAAAACUGCCAGGUGGCUAAAGAGCCAGGUGGGACAGCUCAGCUUCAGAUGCAGACAAGCCACCCCACCCCGUGGAGAAGCUCCACAUCGCUGAGGUCCUUGCUCCCAGGGCCUAGGGGCUUAUGCAACGCCUCCUGCACACUGCCACUUUGAGAAGAGAAGGAGGAAGGAAGACAUCCCGAGAAUGAACAAUCAGUCUUACCCCAAAGUUUGGCUUUGAGUUGACUGGCUAUGUAGCCUUCUCAGGAUCGGAUGAACAAAAUGGGGACAAUUUAGCUUUAAUUGGCAAGUAGAGUUUUUUUUCUUUUGCCAUCGUCGGCAUAUGGACCAGAGGGCAAGAUGAGAGCCACUGUAGGAUUAUUGGAGCUAACAACUAUGAAUGGUUCCAGAUCCAAGUCUAUCUUUUCAUCGCUUGAAAGUCAAUACUUGAAGACGAGAGGAGGAAGGAAAUCAUGUAUUCAGAGGCUGGCACCUUCAGAAAAUGGAGUAGAUAGGGCUACCAUUUUGGUGAACUUGAGAAGAUAGGAGGACUUCUAUAGGGAGGGGAAAGAGCUGCAGGGAGACAACGAGGAAAGCUAAGGGCUGAGUGGGGUCUUUGCCAUCCAGGAUGUGUGUGUGUGUGUGUGUGUGUGUGUGUGUGUCCUUCAUCCAGAACAGCACAAUGGGCCUUGUUCUUAUAAUUCUGUAGACAAAUAUUACUUUUUUCUGCAAGUAAAGCAUCAUUUUACACUAUCUGGUAUAAUCUGAGAGUUGCUAGGUGUUCUGGGUUCUGUAAAUUUGGAAAAAAUUAUUUAGCAGUUAACAUCUUAAUCUUUUAGGUGCAGCUUUUUAUCGGAAUUUAGAAUACUGGACAAGGGGAGAGGGAGGAAUUCUACAAAGGACAACUUGCAAAAAGAGUGGCCGCUGUUACAUGAAGGGGAGAGAGAGAAUUAUGUGUUCCUACUAUAUAGUUUGAUGCACCAUGGUUUUGUAGCAAGGGGGAUAAUUUUCUCCUUACCUUUAAUCAUUCUUAACUGGAAAUCCUUGUAAAAAAGAAAUACUGCAAGAGAAAGAAAAGUGUAUCAACA
rnacentral:lncRNA from 1 species